GACUUGAGUGAAGCCGAUGUUACGUCGUGCGUUUUGAAAAACGAACCAUGGAGUGCAUCUGACUGGCGAGUCUAAGGGGUGAACCCCCGGAGGCAUAGGGAAACCGAUACGGCCGCAGUCUUUGACCAGGGCCACCGUCUUCAAGGGCGGGGAGCCAACCGGAUGCGACCCGAAACCAAGUGAUCUACGCCGGAGCAGGGCGAAGCGUGGCGAAAGCUGCGUGGAGGCCCGUUAGAGUUGGUGUCCUACAAUACCCUCUCGUGACUCUGGUGUAGGGGUGAAAGGCCCAUCGAACUUGGCAACAGCUGGUUCCAACCGAAACAUGUCGAAGCAUGACCUCUGAUGAGAUAGUUCGUGAGGUAGAGCGACCGAUUGGGAAUCCGGACUCCGAGAGGAGUUCGCUUCCCUGUCAAACUCCGAACUUACGAACGUCGUAGACUCAGGGAGUCCGGUGUGCGGGGUAAGCUUGUGCACCGUGAGGGAGACAACCCAGAGCCAGGUUAAGGACCCAAAGUGUGGAUUAAGUGUGAUUGAAGAUUGUCUCGAGCCCUAAACAGCCGGGAGGUGAGCUUAGAAGCAGCUACCCUCUAAGAAUAGCGUAACAGCUUACCGGCCGAGGUUCGAGGCGUCGAAAAUGAUCGGGACUCAAAUCCACCUCCGAGACCUGGCGGCGUGUCUUAUGACACGAUUCCGUAGGUUGGCAUACUGCAUGGGUGGAAGCACGGGUGAGAACUCGUGUGGACCGUGCAGCAACGAAAAUCAUGGUCUCAGUAGCAGCGAGAGUCGGGUGUGAACCCCGACGGCCUUACGCGCAAGGGUUCCUCGGCACUGUCAAUCAGCCGAGGGUUAGUCGAUCCUAAGUCUAUCCGUAAUUCGAAAUAGAUGAAAGGGAAACUGGUUAAUAUUCCAGUACCUUCUUGCACCAAACGUCGACGCUUUAGGAAACACCGAGCGGGGCCUUCGCCCCGUCGAAUCACCGAAAUUCGUGGAAGCCGUAACGGCACGAAGCGAACGAAUGGUGAGAUAGAGAAAUUCGGCGGUACCUAGAGCCCGUGAAAAGACAAGCAAGAAGCUCGUACCGAGAUCCGACACAGGUGCGCUGGCAGAGCAAGCCAAGGCCUGUCGGGAUCAACCGACGUUAGGGAAUUCGGCAAGUUAGUCCCGUAAGUUCGCGAUAAGGGAUGCCUGCUCUUGACCGAGCAGGUCGCAGUGACUCGGACGCUCCGACUGUCUAGUAACAACAUAGGUGACCGCAAAUCCGCAAGGACUCGUACGGUCACUGAAUCCUGCCCAGUGCGGGUAUCUGAACACCUAGUACAAUAGGACGAAGGACCCGUCAACGGCGGGGGUAACUAUGACCCUCUUAAGGUAGCGUAGUACCUUGCCGCUUCAGUAGCGGCUUGCAUGAAUGGAUCAACGAGAGCGUCACUGUCCCAACGUUGGGCCCGGUGAACAGUACGUUCCAGUGCGGAGUCUGGAGACCCCCAAGGGGAAGCGAAGACCCUAUAGAGCUUUACUGCAGGCUGUCGCUGAGACGUGGUCGCUAAUGUGCAGCAUAGGUAGGAGCCAUUACACAGGUACCCGCGCCAGCGGGCCACCGAGGCAUCAUUGAAAUACUACCCGUUAGUGACUGCGACUCUCACUCCUGGCGGAGGACACCGGUAGCCGGGCAGUUUGACUGGGGCGGUACGCGCUCGAAAAGAUAUCGAGCGCGCCCAAAGAUUUCCUCACGCGAGUCGGGAACUCGUGGAAGAGCGCAAGAGCAAACGGAAGUCUGACAGUGACAUUCCCAACGAGUGUCGCUGACGCGAAAGCGUGGUCUAGCGAACCUACGAGGUUCAUUCAUGGGACCCGUAGAUGACAGAAAAGCUACCUUAGGGAUAACAGAGUCGUCACCGGCAAGAGCACAUAUCGACCCGGUGGCUUGCUACCUCGAUGUCGGUUCCCUCCAUCCUGCCUGUGCAGAAGCAGGCAAGGGUGAGGUUGUUCGCCUAUUAAAGGAGGUCGUGAGCUGGGUUUAGACCGUCGUGAGACAGGUCGGCUGCUAUCUAUUGGGGGUGUUAAGGAACUUGACGUGAACGUUCGUAUAGUACGAGAGGAACUACGAAUGGGUGCCACUGGUGUACCGGUUGUCCGAGAGGGCAGAUGCCGGGCAGCUACGCACCACGGGGUAAGAGCUGAACGCAUCUAAGCUCGAAACCCACACGGAAAAGAAGUUCCACUGAGGACACUCGUAGAAGACGAGUUCGAUAGACUCGGGGUGUACGCAACGAGGCAACGAGUUGUUAAGCCCGCGAGCACUAACAGUCCAAGCCACAUUCA
rnacentral:rRNA from 1 species